AGCAGCACCGAGAGAGGCGACUCGGGAGCUGGCAGAAACCAGUCCCUAAGGCCUCAGAAGACUCCUUAGGGAGUGUUUUUGCGCCUUCAUAUCGUCUUCCACUAACAAGAAAGAUUCCGUAGUCUGCAGCUUGAAUCGAGAUCAUUCGUCAGGCUUGGAAUGCGGAGUCGAAUCGCUCGGGAAACGUCGGCGCGACCGAUGUUUCUCUCGGCUCCGCGGUCAGU
rfam:Marine metagenome 15111, whole genome shotgun sequence.